CACCAGCCCUAUCUGGAGGCAGGAGAUCUGGAAAAUCUAGAAUCAACACGCGCCAGCCCAACCCCCUCACCGGACACGUUUCCCUGUGACGUGUUUCAGCUACAAGAUCUCCGGGUCUCCAGCUUUCCAAUUACUCCUCAGAUCCCUCCCUCACGUCUUUCCUCGCGAGGAAAUGUGACCCUUCCCAGCCGCCGUCGCCGAGCACCAACCUACACUUUUGUAGUCCGGCCGCUCACCGCACUCAGGACCUGGGAGCCGUCACCCACACUCAGGGAGCGGGGCCUCGGGACGCCCCAGUGCGCUUGCGCAGACCGUCCACAGUGUUUUAAAGAGAAGGGCGGGGGAUACAGACCAGGGACUGUGGAGCUGGACGGCGGCCGGGAAAGGGCAGUCCGUGUGAGAGCCACUUUGGCUUUAGGGGUGGGUCGUUGCACUCAGAAAUAUCCGGCCUUGGGAAGCACGGGAGGAGCCAUGCUGGGUCGGCAGAAGUGCCGCGGGUUCCUCUCUUUGAAAAUGGGUGCCCAGUGACACAUGUCAGGUGUCUUUUGGAGAGAUUUGAGGAGGAUCCCAGAACUUAACAGCUCUCUGGUAAAUCCCCUCACUUCAUGUUCAGGUAAGAUGGUUUCCUUCCCGUUUUGGAGGUGUGGUAACUCAGAAGUUACGUGGCUUGUUCAUGAUGACUCAAUUUGAGGUUGGAUUGGGUCUUUUAACAAGGCUUUGCCUUUCCUGCUUCUUUCCCUGGAUGCUUUACC
rnacentral:lncRNA from 1 species